CAUAGCGAGGUGCUGUCUGCUCCCCUUCCAGUGCAAUGCAUUUGCACCGCUGAGGCAGGAGGCACUUAUAAAGGGACCAGGGGAAGCACAUGGUGAUAUGUGCGCGCUGUAUAUGCAGCUCUUCACUGAAAUUCAACAGGCCUGAUUUACAUCAGUUUGUAAAUUUGACCCAGAGAUUUUUCUUCCAUUGUUUUGAUGCUCUCAGUGAGAUGCAUUAACAUAAAAGCCCUGGUUAUUUACUCUUGUGGCGUUCUUCAUUCUGUUUGCAUUUUUGAGGGUUGAUUUUGUUGUUGUUGUUUUCUCUUUCUUUGUUGACAGUAGGAGGGGGAAAAUGCUGAAGGAAAGAAACACGCAGGAGGUGAGCGAAGCUGCUUGUCCUGCUACCAGCACUAGUCACUAGGAAAGACAGAAGAUCUCCUGGAAGAACAGGGGAAACUAAAGGCUCUAGGAAGCUUCCAGUUUUCAUGCGAGCAUGUGACGUCAUCCGAGACUCCUUCAUCUUCAGUUCAUACUCUGAGGCCAGCUGACAUUAAAGUAGUCACUGCAUUAGGAAGUUUGCAAACACCACUGGGAUCCAGCAUUUAUCAUGAAGAUUUACUCCAAAGAACAGGAAAGAGCCUCCCUGAAGUAAGCGUGGAAAUUUUGGCAGCUCUUAUUAGCAGUUUUAAUCCUUCGGUCCUGCACCAGUCUCCUCUGCCUGUCACAAUGGGAGCAGCAUCAGAUGGUCAAGCAAUAGGCCUCUUAGAUCAAGCUGGAGAAAUAGUGAAGCUCAUGAAAGAGAACCAGGUGUGUUUAAAGAACAAGACCAUUACGAGAGUUUGGUCUCCAAUCUGGGAAAGGGAGAAAUGUGAUGAAAGACCUUAAACUCCUCAAAAUAGGAUAUAUUGUUUCUUGAGCUUAACAGACUUAACAGACUAUCUGACGUAAAUAGAAUCAGUUCUGUACUCUUUUAAGGUAUGAAGUUCUGUUCUUGAAAAUAUCUCACCUGCUUUAUGUUUGCCGGAAGAGGCUGGUGAAGUUGGCAUGGAAGCCAACAUUUUUGUUUUUGUAUUGCUUAAGGACGUGAGAACCCUAUCUACACUCUGUGCCAGUGUUUCUGAGAAGCCAACCCCAAAUUGUGAUUCUUGAUAUUUAUCUUUUCCCCCUGCUAUCUUAGGAUCAUAUUUUCAAAAAUGUGAGAUAUGCUUUGGCUGAUAUCAGUGGUUGAUGCUGGUGAGAACUGUAUUAUCACUCAUGACUGAGUGCUUUGAAAAUCCCACCCUGGAGUUUUAAGCACUCACUUUUCUUCUAUUCUCAACCCUCAGGCGUGUUAUUUUGUAAAAUGAUCUUCACAUAACUUGC
rnacentral:lncRNA from 1 species